CACAGGCGGUGGCGGUGGCGGAGGAGGAGGAGGAGGACCAGGACUCUCUGUCCCUCACCACACUGCACCCAUUAAGCCCUACACUGGAACAGGCCACGGAGGAGGAGGAUGAUGAUGAUGAUGAUGCGGCUGCAUUUAGUGACGACGAGCCAGAAUACAUUUUUGUCCGUCGCCAACCAGUGGAGGAGACACCUG